rnacentral:rRNA from 1 species
UACAGGGGGGGCAAGCGUUGUUCGGAAUUACUGGGCGUAAAGGGCGCGUAGGCGGCCAACUAAGUCACACGUGAAAUCCCCAGGCUUAACCUGGGAACUGCGUGUGAUACUGGAUGGCUUGAAUUCGGGAGAGGGAUGCGGAAUUCCAGGUGUAGCGGUGGAAAUGCGUAGAUAUCUGGAGGAACACCGGUGGCGAAGGCGGCAUCCUGGACCGACAUUGACGCUGAGGCGCGAAGCUAGGGAGCAAACGGG